UGUUUUGUUUCCGCAGCUCAAGUUGCUUGGAUCAUGGACCAUUUAUUUGUGUUUUGGGCAAAGAGGAGGGCUGCAGCUUGUUUCCAGGGUCCGCAGCUGGGCUUUCCUGUGGACCAGAUCUCGAUUAAGUGGUUCGGUUAUCGGGGAGCUAGUUCGGGAGAUGUUAUUGGGGCAGUGUUUUGGCUAGUGGAAGGUCUCCUGAUUUCCUUUUGUUACAUGCAGGGGGCAAUGAUUUAG